rnacentral:rRNA from 1 species
GGUACGGUAGCUACACAUGCAGUCGACGGCAGCACAGGAGAGCUUGCUCUCUGGGUGGCGAGUGGCGGACGGGUGAGGAAUACAUCGGAAUCUACUUUUUCGUGGGGGAUAACGUAGGGAAACUUACGCUAAUACCGCAUACGACCUACGGGUGAAAGCAGGGGAUCUUCGGACCUUGCGCGAUUGAAUGAGCCGAUGUCGGAUUAGCUAGUUGGCGGGGUAAAGGCCCACCAAGGCGACGAUCCGUAGCUGGUCUGAGAGGAUGAUCAGCCACACUGGAACUGAGACACGGUCCAGACUCCUACGGGAGGCAGCAGUGGGGAAUAUUGGACAAUGGGCGCAAGCCUGAUCCAGCCAUACCGCGUGGGUGAAGAAGGCCUUCGGGUUGUAAAGCCCUUUUGUUGGGAAAGAAAUCCAGCUGGUUAAUACCCGGUUGGGAUGACGGUACCCAAAGAAUAAGCACCGGCUAACUUCGUGCCAGCAGCCGCGGUAAUACGAAAGGGUGCAAGCGUUACUCGGAAUUACUGGGCGUAAAGCGUGCGUAGGUGGGUUAUUUAAGUCCGUUGUGAAAGCCCUGGGCUCAACCUGGGAACUGCAGUGCUACUGGAUGACUAGAUGUGGUAGAGGGUAGCGAAUUUCCUGGUGUAGCAGUGAAUGCGUAGAGAUCAGGAGGAAACAUCAUGCGAGCAGCUACUUGAACACAUUGACCCUGAGCACGAAGCCUUGGGGAGCUACCAGGAUAGAUACCUUGUAGCUCACGCCCUUAACUGAUUGGCAACUGAAUGUUG